UACGAAGGGGGCGAGCGUUGUUCGGAUUUACUGGGCGUAAAGGGCGCGUAGGCGGCGGGCCAAGUCGAGUGUGAAAGCCCCGGGCUCAACCUGGGAGGUGCGCUCGAGACUGGUUUGCUGGAGUUCGGGAGAGGAGCGUGGAAUUCCCAGUGUAGAGGUGAAAUUCGUAGAUAUUGGGAAGAACACCGGUGGCGAAGGCGGCGCCCUGGACCGAGACUGACGCUGAGGCGCGAAGGCGUGGGGAGCAAACAGG
rnacentral:rRNA from 1 species